UACGUAGAAGACUAGUGUUAUUCAUCUUUAGUAGGUUUAAAGGGUACGUAGACUGUAAAUUUAAUCUUAAAUCAGAUACGUUUUUACUAGAGUUUUAUGUGAGGAGGUGAGUAUUUAUGGAGUAGAGUUGAAAUUUUUUGAUCCCAUAACGACUGGUAACGGCGAAAGCAACCUUUUAGCUAAUAACUGACGUUGAGGGACGAAGGCUCGGGUCGCGAACAGG
rnacentral:rRNA from 1 species